rnacentral:misc_RNA from 1 species
GGCGAAGAGCCGGCGAGCC